UACGAGGGGGGCAAGCGUUGUUCGGAAUUAUUGGGCGUAAAGGGUGCGUAGGCGGUUUGGUAAGUCUUAUGUGAAAUCUACAGGCUCAACUUGUAGUCUGCAUGAGAAACUGUCGGGCUCGAGUCCGGAAGAGGAGUGUGGAAUUCCUGGUGUAGCGGUGAAAUGCGCAGAUAUCAGGAGGAACACCAAUGGCGAAGGCAGCACUCUGGGACGUGACUGACGCUGAGACGCGAAAGCGUGGGGAGCAAACAGG
rnacentral:rRNA from 1 species